rnacentral:rRNA from 1 species
ACUCCUACGGGAGGCAGCAGUAAGGAAUAUUGGACAAUGCCCGCAAGGGUGAUCCAGCCAUGCCGCGUGCAGGAAGACGGCCCUAUGGGUUGUAAACUGCUUUUGUACGGGAGAAGACCCUUCUACGUGUAGAGGGCUGAUAGUACCGUAAGAAUAAGCAUCGGCUAACUUCGUGCCAGCAGCCGCGGUAAU